rfam:Brachypodium distachyon strain Bd21 chromosome 1, whole genome shotgun sequence.
AUCAUAUUCCUCCGUCCAACAAAUGACAUCUCAAUUUUGACUAAAUUUAAAUGCAUCUAUACACUAAGUCAUGUCUAGAUCCAUCCAAAAUUUGAUAAACUUGAGACAUCUUUUGUUGGACGGAGGGAGUAUAUA